UAGGGAAUCUUCCACAAUGGACGCAAGUCUGAUGGAGCAACGCCGCGUGAGUGAAGAAGGUUUUCGGAUCGUAAAGCUCUGUUGUUGGUGAAGAAGGAUAGAGGUAGUAACUGGCCUUUAUUUGACGGUAAUCAACCAGAAAGUCACGGCUAACUACGUGCCAGCAGCCGCGGUAAUACGUAGGUGGCAAGCGUUGUCCGGAUUUAUUGGGCGUAAAGCGAGCGCAGGCGGAAGAAUAAGUCUGAUGUGAAAGCCCUCGGCUUAACCGAGGAACUGCAUCGGAAACUGUUUUUCUUGAGUGCAGAAGAGGAGAGUGGAAUUCCAUGUGUAGCGGUGGAAUGCGUAGAUAUAUGGAAGAACGCCAGUGGCGAAGGCGACUCUCUGGUCUGCAACUGACGCUGAGGCUCGAAAGCAUGGGUAGCGAACAGG
rnacentral:rRNA from 1 species